UUUUCCAUUUCACUACAACAUUUUCCCCAGUACAUUUUAGUGGCUAUGCAGGUGGGAAAGAUUAAAGUUGUCACGAUGUGAAGAGGGCGGGGGGGGGGGGGGGUUGGUACCCUCCUUCUAAAUGAAAUGGCUGAACUGAAGAAA
rnacentral:snoRNA from 1 species